rnacentral:rRNA from 1 species
CCUACGGGAGGCAGCAGUGGGGAAUCUUGCGCAAUGGGCGAAAGCCUGACGCAGCAACGCCGCGUGCGGGAAGAAGGCUUUCGGGCUGUAAACCGCUUUCAGCAGGAACGAAAAUGACGGUACCUGCAGAAGAAGGAGCGGCCAACUAUGUGCCAGCAGCCGCGGUGAUACAUAGGCUUCAAGCGUUGUCCGGAUUUAUUGGGCGUAAAGAGUUCGUAGGCGGUCGAGUAAGUCGGGUGUGAAAAUUCUGGGCUCAACCCAGAGACGCCACCCGAUACUGCUUGACUUGAGUUCGAUAGGGGAGUGGGGAAUUCCUAGUGUAGCGGUGAAAUGCGCAGAUAUUAGGAGGAACACCGGUGGCGAAGGCGCCACUCUGGAUCGAUACUGACGCUGAGGAACGAAAGCAUGGGUAGCAAACAGGAUUAGAUACCCUGGUAGUCCAUGCCGUAAACGGUGGGCACUAGGUGUGGGUUUCUAUUAACGAAAUCCGCGCCGUCGCUAACGCAUUAAGUGCCCCGCCUGGGGGAGGUACGGUCGCGAGACGUAAACUACAANAGUAAGUAGUACGGCGUUGUAGACGUUGCCGACGGCGACGACGAGGGAGGAGG